GCAAGAGCCUGGGAACAUUUUAACAAAGUAUAUCCGGAUUCGCUAGCAAUAUCCGGAAUGUGUAUCUCGGAUUAUGCACAGAUGGAUUUAGUCCAUUCGGAAUGUCAGGGAGACAAUAUUCAUUGUGGCCAGUCUUUCUUACGCCAUACAACCUGCCACCAGAGAUGUGCAUGCAACGGGAGUUGCGAUUCUUGACCAUAUUAAUACCUGGUCCAAAACAUCCUAAAAGGUCGCUGGAUGUUUUCCUGCAACCCCUGAUAAAAGAGUUGAAGGAUUUGUGGUCAACUGGGGUGAGGACGUAUGACUGCUCAACGAAGAUGAAUUUCACGAUGCGAGCGAUGCUUUUGUGGACCAUAAGUGACUUUCCUGCCUAUGGGAUGUUGUCGGAAUGGACUACACAUGGGAGAUUAGCUUGUCCAUACUGUAAUGGAGCGACAGAUGCGUUUAAACUGAAGAAUGGAAGGAAGACAAGUUGGUUCGAUUGUCAUCGUCGAUUUCUUCCCAUUGGCCAUCCGUACCGAAGAAACAAGACAUUGUUUAGGCACAAAAAGGUUGUGAGAGACACUCCUCCUCCAUAUUUAACUGGAGAAGAAACUGAAAAGCAACUCGAUUACUAUGGAGCUUUGGAAACAGUUCCUCGUGGUGGUAAUUGGCAUGUCCCCCCUAAUAUGCCUGAUUCUUACGGUGUUCAUCACAACUGGCACAAGAAGAGUAUAUUUUGGGAGUUUCCAUAUUGGAAGGAUCUUCUUCUGCGCCACAACCUCGAUGUGAUGCAUAUAGAGAAGAAUUUCUUUGAGAACAUCAUGAAUACAAUAUUGAAUGUCCCGGGGAAGACAAAAGACAACAUAAAAUCGAGGUUAGACUUGCCGGAUAUUUGCUCAAGAAGUGAGUUACAUAUAAACAGCAAUGGGCAAGUUCCUGUUCCGAUAUUCAGAUUGUCUUCAGAAAAAAAGUCGGUGUUGUUCAACUGGGUAGCAUCAGAAGUGAAAUUCCCCGAUGGGUAUAUUUCAAAUCUGUCUAGAUGCGUUGAAAAGGGUCAAAAGUUCUCCGGGAUGAAGAGUCAUGAUUGUCAUGUCUUUAUGCAAUGACUACUUCCCUUUGCUUUUGCGGAGCUACUUCCUACAAACGUACAUGAAGCACUUGCAGGCAUUGGAGCAUUUUUCAGGGAUCUGAGCACCCGCACUCUUAAAGUAGAAGUCGUGGAACAGCUUCAAGAGAACAUUCCCAUCUUAUUGUGCAACUUGGAGAAGAUAUUUCCUCCUGGGUUUUUUGACGUCAUGGAGCAUCUAGCUGUGCACCUCCCAUAUGAGGCAUUGCUUCGUGGACCUGUACAUUACGAAUGGAUGUAUCAGUAUGAGCGAGCCAUGAAAUAUUUGAAGGGAAAAGCAAAGAACCUUGCAAAGGUUGAAGGUUCUAUAAUUGCUGGAAAUUUGACGGAAGAAACUUCUCACUUCACAUCGUACUACUUUGCGUCAAAAGUACGUACCCGGAAAAGAGCUCCAAGGAGAUAUGAUGAUGGUGGUGUCGCACCAACAUAUGCAGUUGCUGGUGUUCCAGACAUCUUUAGCCAGAUUGGGCGACUGGGUGGGAAAUCAAAAGAGGUUUGGUGGUCGAGUGAAGAAGACGCUCAUAGUGCACACACCUAUAUUCUACUCAAUUGUGAGGAUCCAUUGAUUCGUUAUUUUGAAAGCCUAUUUGUUUCACAAGUCGAAGAAACAUUCUAAGGUAUAUCCACAACUGACGUAGACAAAAGGAAAGAUCAACACUUUAUAAAGUGGUUGAAGAAUCAGGUUGAUUUUGACGACGAUGCAGAUUAUCCUAAGUGGUUACAUGAAGUAAUUCAAUCUCCACAUGUAAAGGUCACCACCUCACAGAUGUAUUUCACACGAGGCUAUACUUUUCACACAUAUGAGUAUGGUAGACAGCGGGCGACCAGUAACUAUGGAAUAUGUGUGAAAGGGGAAACCGAUUUCUACGGUAUCUUGACAGAGAUUAUUGAAGUGGAAUUUCCAGGGAUAUUGAAGCUGAAAUGCGUCCUCUUCAAAUGUGAGUGGUUCGACCCCGUCGUCAACAGAGGUGUUCGGUUUAACAAAUUCGGUGUAGUUGAUGUCAAUGGUGGACGAAGGUACAACAAAUUCGAGCCUUUCAUCUUAGCUUCACAAGCAGAUCAAGUUAGCUACCUUUCAUACCCUCGGAUGAGAGAAUCGGGAAUAAAUUGGUUAUCCGUGAUCAAAGUUACACCUCGAGGACGAAUCAUUAGUGGAGAAGAACCACCAUUGCAAGAAGAACAGAUAAAUGAAGUCGAGGAACCUGAACAACAAAUUGAUGACAUUCUUCUCAUUGAUCCGCAUAAUCAUGAAUAUGAAGAUCUUACCGACGAUGGCACAGACGAAGCUGUUGAAGACGAGUUUAAUGAAAAUGAUGAUGUUUCUAGUGAUGACGAAAAUGUAUCCGAUUGAUGUAUUUGUGUUUUAAUAUGAUUGAUUUUCAGACUUAA